GAUUAGGGAAGAAAAACUAGAAACGAAGGGGGAGAAGAGAUUAGGGAAGAAAAAGGAAAAUAUUACCAGGGUUCUCUGUAGACACCUCCAUCAUCUCCCAUGGCCAUGUAUCAGUAGCAUCAAUCGAAAUCCUUCAGUUCAUGUAGUCGGAUUUGCUCCUGGUCCGGUACCUGCGACGGAUUGUGGUGGAGGCGAUCUACAGUGGAAUGAUUGUUCCCAACCGAAGAAGAAAAAAAUUGAAAGAGCAAGUCUUCUUGGAGAACAAUUCUCAGAUUUCCUCUUGAUAUCCUGCAAACGCGAUCUGUUUCAACGGGAUUAGGGUUGUUGCUGAUCGUCAACUGCUUUGGGGUCUUCUCUCCAUUUGUCCAUUUCAGGUUUGGAGACGGGAAUGAUAGAGAGGGGCUUCCAUCGGGUCAGAUCCGAAUCCAAAUGGUUCUAUGAGGGGGCAAAAGGGGUUUGAAUAAUCAAAGCAUCCACACCUUUGGAUUAUAAUGUACACGUGUCAUAUAAUUGUACACGUCUCAUGCACAGGGAGAGAAUUAGACAAGAAUUGGUAACUCAA